GUGCAGAAGUAAAAGCAGCUAAUUUGCUACUACCCUUGUCGUCAAAAGUGUCAUGGGCAGAUUUAAAGACAUGUGAUGUGCCUUCAGAUAUUCCAUUUGAAAUAAAAGGUGUGGCAACUUCAUUAAAGAGCAUGAUUGUGAACAGAUCUGAUAACAGCUUCUCAAAGGCAUUCACUAGACUAUUGCUUGAGUUCAUCAAGACAUAUUCCUUAUGAGUACCCCAUGCCACGCAUUGUGAUGUGUAAGUUCCAAUAGUAUUUUUUUGCUUAUCUACUUUUUUAGUCUGAGCCCCAAGUCUGAGCAUGAUAUUAGAGGGUUUGAGGUUCACAAUUUCCAGCAGCAGAAGAUUCCACAGCCACUUUUCGAUUCUUGCUCAUGAAGCGACCACUGCCGGAGUCCAAAAAGAGCUAGGAGUAGGACAAAAUGCAGUGUCCCUGUGGAUAACUAUGAAGGGCUCGAAUCUUCUUCAGAUAAGACAGAUGAGACAAUGGACACGGAUGCAGAUGAUAAUACAGUCAGGCCAGCUAUUGUAUCAUGUACACAGGACCAGAUUCUCCUUGUAGUGAAUUGGUUGCCCCUAUGUUUAUCAAUCU